rnacentral:lncRNA from 1 species
GAAAAUGACGAUCACAUUGAUAAUUUUUUCUUCCUUUCCCUUUUUUUCCUUUCUUGCAAUUAAGCAAGAGUGUACAUGGUCACAUAAAGUUAGGAAGAUGUAACAUUUCUAGCCAGCUAUCUACAUCAUUCAAUGAGAAAAACAAGUCUGGCCCUUCAAUGUGGUAGAAGAAGACAUGUGCGACCUACAAAUAACCCAUGAUUUGGUUAAGAUUCAUGUCACUCAGCAGGGAUAUAAAGAGGAAAUUGGAGGUUGAUGCGGGAGAUAUUUGAUUAUGGCCUUUGGAGAAAGAACGUUGAUAUGAAAAUGAUGUUUAAGAACACAAAAGCAUAAUUGAUGGCAGAAAUAGACAAGUCUAGUACUUUGUGUUUAUUAGCACCAGAAAAUCUUGAUAAGGUUGCGGCCUUGCAGGAUCCUUAUAAUAGAGAAAGUCUUGUCUCCACAUUUUAAGUUUUCU